rnacentral:rRNA from 1 species
CGGGUGAGUAACACGUAUCCAACCUGCCGUCUACUCUUGGACAGCCUUCUGAAAGGAAGAUUAAUACAAGAUGGCAUCAUGAGUUCACAUGUUCACAUGAUUAAAGGUAUUCCGGUAGACGAUGGGGAUGCGUUCCAUUAGGUUGUUGGUGAGGUAACGGCUCACCAAGCCUUCGAUGGAUAGGGGUUCUGAGAGGAAGGUCCCCCACAUUGGAACUGAGACACGGUCCAA